GGAAUCCGCUAAGGAGUGUGUAACAACUCACCUGCCGAAUGAAUUAGCCCUGAAAAUGGAUGGCGCUGAAGCGGGUAGCCGACACCACGCCGUCUGGACAAAGUGGUUUUUUCAGAUGAGUAGGAGGGCGUGGCGGUUGUAUCGAAGCGUGGAUGCGAAUCUGCGUGGAACAGCCGCUAGUGCAGAUCUUGGUGGUAGUAGCAAAUAUUCAAGCGAGAUCCUUGAAGGGCGAAGCGGGGAAGGGUUCCACGCGAACAUUGAUUGGGCGUGGGUGAGUCGUUCCUAAGCCGCGUGGCAAUAGCUAAUUACCGGCGAAAGGGAAGCAGGUUGACAUUCCUGCACACGGAUGUGGAGACGGCGACGAUACGUGAGGCGAUCACGCUGGCGGUGGCGCUGGGCAGAGUUGUCUUUUCUGUUUGACCAUUGAAAUACUUGCUGUGUGGAAUCCGCUUGUCGGGAGAAACACGCAGGUACGGGCAGAGCGCCGGGGCUUUUCCGGCGUCCAGCUCGCCACCGACGGCCCUUGAAAAAUUGCCUGCUGGACAACAUUUCGGUGUUGUGAGAUCCACGCCGUGGCGUACCGAUAACCGCAUCACGUCCCCAAGGUGAACAGCCUCUGCUCAGUAUGAACAAUGCAGGUAAGGGAAGUCGGCA
rnacentral:rRNA from 1 species